UUUACCAUUAUUGUUCAUGUGGCAUGCUCACAUCCCUCCUCAGUUAUCUUAGUUAAGAACACAUAAAUUACUAGAAAAUUUAGAACUUUUGCCACAGGUACAUAUUGAACAGUUUAUCUUAUUACAUUUUAUCUUAUAAGAUAUACAAUCGGUUGUUAUAUAAGACAAUAAUCUGUUAAGAAAACAAUUAGCUUACAAAAGAAUUCUGAUUCCUCCUUAUCAAUUAUGUAUAUGAUUGUCGGCUCAAGAUGUUUUAAUAGCGAAAAAGUCGUCAAGUAAAACAUUUUCGAAAUGGUCUGAGCCGGAGGCCUGAUCGGUGUGGUCUGAGUUGCGAGCUACGAACAGCUGAGCCGCCUUCUAUGCAUCACUAACAACCAUCUUCCGCUUCAAGCUUCACCCCAUCUUCAUCGUUUCAUCUCUAUAUUAAGACUAAGCUCGUGCUCCGACUACCACCACCGGACCGAUUCCUUCUCCGUCGAAAUUGUCUUCCGCCCUAGCAUGAAGCUUCUUCUGUUCAAGUCACCUAUGUCGUGUCCAGCUCUCACACACGGCCAGCUCCUCCUGGAAUCAAUCCUUUUAAUAUCUACAAAUAUUAUAAGUAAUUUUAGUUUUAAUUUUUGAUAAUUAUAUAUAUAUAUAUAAUUUCUUAAAUUUAUACAAGUUGAUUUCAUAUAUUUUAACCAAAAAACAGAUAAAAUCUAUCUAAAAUUAUAGUUUUAAAUAUAUAGAUAUCUAUUCUUAAAUAUAAUUUUAAUAAAAAUUAAUAAUUUUAUCUUUAAUUAAAUCAAAAUCUAUAUUAAAAUAUUGGUAAAAAAUAAUAAAAUCAAAAAUAUUAAUAAAAUUUUACUUUUAAAUAUAAUUUAAAUUUAUUAUAUUUAUAGGUGCAUAUGGUAGAGGAAAAUACCUAGUUUGUAUAGAUGAAUUGAUUACAUAAAAAAAGGAAAAUCCAUUGUCCUAUAAAACAUAAUUGCAAAUAUCAUAACAGAGAUUAAACCAGGUUACAGAUAUAAUUUUAUCAUGAGCAUGAUAUAUAGGAAACUGAAUUUUCAAAUAAUAUUAUAAAAUAUAUUAGACAUUUUAUCAAUAUAUUUUACCCAUAAGCUUGAUUUUUUUUUUGUCAACACCCAUAAGCUUGAUUUUUUAUCAGUAUUUUUAUAAAAAAAACAAAUAACCAUAAACCAAUAACCUUAAUAAACUAAAACUAUUAUAUAUAGUUCCAACAAUUAAGAUUUUUUUUUUUUUGCAUAACCGAAACAAAGACAAUGUACAAAAGUAACCCGAUUGUAUUCUAAAUGAAACCAAAAAAAUUGUGAUUAAAUUUGGAUGACUAGGUAACUCAAUACUAUAUCCAAAAUGUAAUUAAGGGAGCCAAUCUUAAUUUUAUAAUCAAAAUUAAAGGUCUAACAAUAUGUUAUUGUCUAUAAUAUUAUUAUAAUUAUUUUCAUACAUAUAAACUAUGUAACGACUCCAACAUUUAAAUACAUAAAAAUGAAAUAUUAACCAAUUAUUUUAACUGAGUUUUUGAAAGAGGUUAUAUAUGUCCAUGAACUUUCAAAAAAUUAUUGUUAUGUUCAUUUUAUGUAACUUUUAAUUGUUCACAUAAUAAUAAUUACUUUCUAUUUUUCAAAACAAAAAUAUAUCAAAUCAUGCAUAAUUUCUCUAAAAUAUAUUUUCAUAGGUAAGAAAAUAAACCAAGAUUAAUGCAACUAACAAAAUUAAUCAAAAUUUUAAUAUGCUUAGAACAAAAAAACAUGAUUUAACUUAGAGAAGUAUAUGUAACUCAAUAUACUCAAAUGAUAACCAAACCAAACAAAUAUUCUAUACACAAAAUCAUAUGUCUAAUUAAAAUAAUAAAAUAAAUUUUUAUAAAUAAACUACAAAAAUAGGUAGCUAAUCGAUUAUUAUGAUUUAUUUACUUUAAAAAUAUUUAUAUCCAUGACCUAGUGUUAUUUGUAUUGUAUAAGCAACAGGGUUCAUUGACCUUAUGUCUUUUAAUAUAUUUCUCCACCAAUAAUAUUUAUUUUUUCAGAGUUGUAGUUCUUUGUUUGUUUAACAGUUUUAGAACACCGUUAAGAGCAGAGAACUUUAAAACACCUUCACUGAGUAUUGAUUUUCCUAUAGGCUUUAACUUUUGCAGGUUAUUAUUUGUUGAGUUCUACUCAAGAAAUUUUACUCUAUCAGCCUUUUAAUGGUAAGAAAGAAAAAGUGAUUUUCAAACUCAACACAAACUUUAUUGAUUAAAGGGUACUUCUGGCAUCUCUUGACAAAAAAAAGGGUACUUCUGGCAUCCAGUCGGCGCAUGUGCGUAUGUGCCGGCGCCGGUAAAAUCCUCCUUCUCCAUAUUUCUUUUGCUUUGCUCAUCUGUCGUCUUUCUCCAGCCUUCGUCUUGUUCUCGUCUCUGGCUUUGGCUUUCUCUCUGGUAAGGUCCUCUACUCGCGAAGAUGAUUCAAUCCGGCCGCGAUGUGCUUGUUCUAGAGUCUAGGCGCAGAGGUUGGUCGUGGUUUUGUCUGUGGAGAUCAGCUUUAAGGGAGGUUUUCAAUUUUUGGAUCUGUCUGGUGGUCUUCUAUUGCUUUCUUGGGGUUUGAUGGACAGUCUUCUCGGAUGGUUACCUCCGCCGGUUAUGUAACUUCCUCGGAGGUGAUAGUGGGUGGCGGUGGUUGGUUUCCCGGACCUCUACGGCGCCGUGGUGAUGCGCUUCCUAUUCCGCUUAAGUCAGGUGAGCUUCAAUGGUCUUUUUGACACGGAGAUAAGCUGUGGACCGUUGUAUGCAGUCGAGUAUGGUACACAGUUCUGUUUCUGGCUCGUCAAGGGUUAUGGAGGUCGUUGUUGGGAGGUCGUCUAGAACUUUCUUGUAGCAGCUCAGUGGAUCUUCUCAUCUCAGAUUCUCCAAUAUUGUCACUGCCUUGUUCUUUCGCUAGAUGGCGACGGCUGUCUCUCCUGGAGGUUCGUUCCUUGGGUGUUAUUGUUAGGUUGCUAUCCUUGUAACACAGGUGGAUUUCAUUGCGUGUCAUGGGUUCCUGAUCUUUUGUUUCUCAAAAUUGGCAAAAGGUGUUGCGAUAGUAGUCUUGGUUGUGGCGGUGUCCCUUUUGAGUCCAGUGCACAUGCCAGUGCUGGUUGUUGAUCAUUUGGUUUACGAUUGGUAGUGUUUCUUGACAGCUUAUGUGCAGGUCGUUAGAGUCUAAAGGAAGUGUUUGGUGGCGAAUUCAGGUCCGUCUUCGUGAAGAAGGGAAGCUUACGAGUUUAAACAAAUACAUCGAGAGCCAAUUACUCUGGAGGUGACUCCGGAAGUCUCUACAUCCGAGGCAAGGAGGUGAAUCACACCUUCCCAUGUCUCUCUCGUCAAAAGUUGAGAACUGCUCUCGAUUCUCAUUGCAAUUGGAUCAAAUUAGUGAAACGUGCUAGGUGAUGGUUGAAUAAAACUUGUUAGGAAAUGGAUAAUAGAUGUUAUUUUGUAGGAGUCGACUUGUAAUCAGAUCCAAAUUCCCAGUUUUGGGUUGAUUAAAUAUAAUAUAAUAUGUUUUUUUAA